AAGCGGGUGCACACUGCGCAGCCACUGAGUCUCGUAAGCAAGCGGGCUAGUUGAAUAGCUUAGUUUGUCAAAUUUAAGAAAUGCAGAAGAGAUUCAAGAGGA